rnacentral:lncRNA from 1 species
UGGAGAUGACAACUCUUGGCAAUUGCUUAAUAAUAAAGAUAGAAGUUGGAGAAAAACCACAGGCAGAUAGGAGGCUAAUUGAGUAAGAGGGCAACUUCCGCCUACUCCCUUGGGCCCAUGGAGGCUCAGAAUGUUCCAGUAUAACUAGGGAGAAGGACACAGUCUCUGAAAGGCAAGUAUAGAAAGCACAUUAAUAGUUUCCAGAAUAUUACCUUUAGAACACUGCUGUUCUCUAUGUCAUAGCAAGUGAGGCAUUUCAGGGUCAGAUGGACAUUUAUGUGUGCCAUGUGCAUUAAGGGUCAUAAGCCGUGAAUUAUAGAACCAAUAGGGAGCUACUAGAGAAAGGAAGGUGGUUUCAGGUUCCAAGGUAGCAAAAUUGCUAGUGAUUUGACCAGAGAUGCUAUUUCAGUAGAAACCAGGUGGAAUGUCAAGGCAGGGAGGCCCAGGAGGUCUACCAGGUGACUUAAAAUCAGGAGCUUAAGUGUCCUCUAGGAGAUUUUGAGGGAACAGAGAACAAAGAGACAGGAC